rnacentral:misc_RNA from 1 species
GACAUAUCCAAUCCAAAAGCUAUGUGAGUUAAUAUUCUUAUCAAAAGUUAUUACUAUUGAGAGAAACAUGCAUACUUUUUGGGCUUGUAGUGGUACUGCUGAGUCGUGUUGACUGUUAGAAAUUUUGAUUUAAAUCUUCCUGACGAGUGAACUAACCAACCUACCCACUGGAUUUCUCCUUGGAAGUUCUAUGAAUUUAUCCGAGGCAGUUGAUAUGGGAGUGAUGUUAUAUUCAAUUGGAAAAUAUCCUAUUAUUAGUGUCAAUAUUGUAAAAUCUCUCAUCACUCUUUUUUUUUUUUUUUACU